GAUGAACGCUGGCGGCGUGCCUAAUACAUGCAAGUCGAGCGAACAGACGAGGAGCUUGCUCCUCUGACGUUAGCGGCGGACGGGUGAGUAACACGUGGAUAACCUACCUAUAAGACUGGGAUAACUUCGGGAAACCGUAGCUAAUACCGGAUAAUAUAUUGAACCGCAUGGUUCAAUAGUGAAAGACGGUUUUGCUGUCACUUAUAGAUGGAUCCGCGCCGCAUUAGCUAGUUGGCAAGGUAACGGCUUACCAAGGCAACGAUCCGUAGCCGACCGGAGAGGGGGAUCGGCCACACUGGAACUGAGACACGGCCCAGACUCCUACGGGAGGCAGCAGUAGGGAAUCUUCAGCAAUGGGCGAAAGCCUGACGGAGAAACGCCGCGGGAGUGAUGAAGGUCUUCGGAUCGUAAAACUCUGUUAUCAGGGAAGAACAAAUGUGUAAGUAACUAUGCAGGUAUGGACGGUACCGAAGCAGAAAGCCACGGCUAACUACGG
rnacentral:rRNA from 1 species